GAUGAACGCUGGCGGCGUGCCUAAUACAUGCAAGUCGAGCGAACAGAUGAGGAGCUUGCUCCUCUGACGUUAGCGGCGGACGGGUGAGUAACACGUGGAUAACCUACCUAUAAGACUGGGAUAACUUCGGGAAACCGGAGCUAAUACCGGAUAAUAUAUUGAACCGCAUGGUUCAAUAGUGAAAGACGGUUUUGCUGUCACUUAUAGAUGGAUCCGCGCCGCGUUAGCUAGUUGGUAAGGUAACGGCUUACCAAGGCAACGAUGCGUAGCCGACCUGAGAGGGUGAUCGGCCACACUGGAACUGAGACACGGUCCAGACUCCUACGGGAGGCAGCAGUAGGGAAUCUUCCGCAAUGGGCGAAAGCUUGACGGAGCAACGCCGCGUGAGUGAUGAAGGUCUUCGGAUCGUAAAACUCUGUUAUUAGGGAAGAACAAAUGUGUAAGUAACUAUGCACGUCUUGACGGUACCUAAUCAGAAAGCCACGGCUAACUACGUG
rnacentral:rRNA from 1 species